UCUUUCAGGAUGAAUGCCAUCCACACAAAAGAGCUCCUGUUGACAUCUCAUUUACAAUCUCCCCCAGGACACAGACAAGACCCUUUCAAUAAAUCCAGCUCAGAAACACCUAUUGUUCAAAAUCUUCAACUCGCCACAGGCUACCACCACUCCCUAUGGCUUUGCAAAAUUAAAGAUUUAGAAGAAGGAUGGGGCGGUGGAAGCUAUGAAAAGAGGCAGGAAAAAAGUUCCUUUGACCCGAUGCUGUCAGAGAGCGUGCAUGAAGAAGAAAGUUAAUGGUAUUUCCAUUUAUAUAAGAAGCGCCUAAGAAAUGCCUGUGACGUUCGUGAACUAGUGAUUGUGAAUUCCAAAUUUGAUGCCAACUUUAUGUGUAAAGAAGCUAACUCCUGCCAACAUCGUGGCUGAAUGAACAGCUGGGACUAUGCUUAACCCAUUCCCAGCUUAUAAAAGCCCCAUGGCAGCUGCAGUGAAGCAUCAGAUUAUGUGAUGCAACAAAAUUCAAAUAUGAAAACCAUCUCGGAGGCCGGGCGCGGUGGCUCACGCCUUUAAUCCCAGCACUUUGGGAGGCCGAGGUGGGUGGAUCAUUUGAGGUCAGAAGUUCAAGACCAGCCUGGCCAACACGGUGAAACCCUGUCUCUACUAAAAAUACAAAAAUUAACUGGGCGUGGUGGCACAUGCCUGUAAUCCCAGCUACUCGGGAGGCUGAGGCAGGAGAAUUGCUUGAACCUGGGAGGCGGAGGUUGCAGUGAGCCGAGAUCACGCCAUUGUUCUCCAGCCUGGGCAACAAGAGCAAAACUCUGUCUCAAAAAUAAAAUAAAAAAUUGCUUUAAAAAA
rnacentral:lncRNA from 1 species